rnacentral:rRNA from 1 species
UACGUAGGGGGCAAGCGUUGUCCGGAAUUAUUGGGCGUAAAGCGCGUGUAGGCGGUCCGGUAAGUCGGCUGUGAAAGCCCCGGGCUCAACCUGGGAAUGGCGAUGGAUACUGGCUCGCUAGAGUGCGGUAGAGGAGAGUGGAAUUCCCGGUGUAGCAGUGAAAUGCGUAGAGAUCGGGAGGAACAUCAGUUGCGAAGGCGGCUCUCUGGACCAGCACUGACACUGAGGCACGAAAGCGUGGGGAGCAAACAGG